UGGGGAAUUUUGGACAAUGGGCGAAAGCCUGAUCCAGCCAUGCCGCGUGAGUGAUGAAGGCCUUAGGGUUGUAAAACUCUUUCGCUCGGGAAGAUAAUGACGGUACCGAGUAAAGAAGCCCCGGCUAACUCCGUGCCAGCAGCCGCGGUAAUACGGAGGGGGUUAGCGUUGUUCGGAAUUACUGGGCGUAAAGCGCACGUAGGCGGACCAGCCAGUCAGAGGUGAAAUCCCGGGGCUCAACCUCGGAACUGCCUUUGAUACUGCUGGUCUCGAGUCCGAGAGAGGUGAGUGGAAUUCCGAGUGUAGAGGUGAAAUUCGUAGAUAUUCGGAGGAACACCAGUGGCGAAGGCGGCUCACUGGCUCGGUACUGACGCUGAGGUGCGAAAGCGUGGGGAGCAAACAGGAUUAGAUACCCCGGUAGUCC
rnacentral:rRNA from 1 species